rnacentral:tRNA from 2 species
GGACCCGUAGCUCAGCACGGAUAGAGCACAGGCCUCCUAAGUCUGGGGUCGUGGGUUCAAAUCCCACCGGGCCCGCCA